rnacentral:ncRNA from 1 species
UAAUAAGCGACGAAUGGAACGUUAACUGUAUCCGCCCUUUUCUAGCGAUUUGACGAAUGGUGAAAGGUCAAAAAGGGGUCACGGUUGAAAAUCAUCCAUGAGCUGUUAAGCUGAAUCAAGUAAGCUUAGCCGUAGCCACUGCGUUAAAGUGUUGAGAGAGUACAUUUUUUAGUGAGGCAAUUUGCCGUACUAAUAAGGGUGGUAUCGCGAGCGAGUCUCGUCCCUUUU